rnacentral:rRNA from 1 species
CCUACGGGGGGCAGCAGUGGGGAAUAUUGCACAAUGGGGGAAACCCUGAUGCAGCGACGCCGCGUGAGUGAAGAAGUAAUUCGUUAUGUAAAGCUUUAUCAGUAGGGAAGAAAAUGGCGGUACCUGAGUGAGAAGCCCCGGCUAACUACGUGCCAGCAGCCGCGGGAAUACGUAGGGGGCCAGCGUUAUCCGGAUUUACUGGGGUGAAAGGGGGCGUAGACGGGAGAGCAAGUCUGGAGUGAAAGGCGGGGGCUCAAACCAAGGACUGCUCUGGAAACUGUACGGCUUGAGUGCAGGAGAGGUAAGUGGAAUUCCUAGUGUAGCGGUGAAAUGCGUAGAUAUUAGGAGGAACACCAGUGGCGAAGGCGGCUUACUGGACUGUAACUGACGUUGAGGCUCGAAAGCGUGGGGAGCAAACAGGAUUAGAUACCCCUGUAGUC